ACCUACUGCUGCGUUAUUACUGUUGCACCUGCUGCUGCAUUAUUACUGCUGCACCUGCUGCCUUACCCCACUGUUGCUGCAACAUAUUUCUGCCGGUACAAAACUGCUCUGCUGCACCUGCUACCUCUACCUCACUGCUGCUGCUACGUACUACUGCCGUUACAAUACUGCUGUCGCUGCACACUGCUGCCUUUACAUCACUGCUGCUACUCUCUCUACAAUCGGCUGGAUGUAUCUUCUUCAACUAAAAGUGAACUACAACCUCUUUAUUUUGGAGGACCUUGAUCUCUUCUUCUCUCCUCAGAUCUGAAUACCAGUAUGGCUGCUACCUUGAAGGCGACUCAGACCCUAGAGGAUUACCUCCAAAGUCCUCCUCUGCUGUGGGUUACAAGACUGGUUUCAAAACUGAACUUCACUAUACCACCAGGGUCAAUUUCAGGCUCUUCUCGCAGCCUUCCAGCCUGCAGAUCCAAGUGCUUGUCUUGUGGGUUUGCUAGAGCCCUGUCCUGAGAAUCUCCGCUUGAAGUUUCAAAGCAAAUCGAGGCCUGGUGAAGAGUUUCUCUGGAUCUGAGUUACACCCCUGCUUUGGUCCAAGGAAGACAAUCCCCAUCGUGAGUUAGGGUGUUUAAUUCUUUUUAUUCUGAUUUCCUAUUAUGCCCUCCUAUUUGUUUUAAAUUCCCCAUCUCCCCUACUUCUAUUUUACUUCCUAGAUUACCCUCAUCAAGUAACCAAUAAUUCCUUUUAAGUCCCCUCUCUCAAACAGCUCAUUAAUAAUCUGGAUAUUUACAAUA